rnacentral:rRNA from 1 species
UAUUUGUUUAGUUGUAGCAACUAAGGAAGAAAAUUUAAAUUUACAUGCACAAGGUUGUUUAAAUCGCAGUAGGAAAAAUUUUUAGUAAAAUUAUUUUUCAAGAGAGGCUAAUAAAGUGCCAGCAACCGCGGUUACACUUUUUCUCAUUCCUUAUUCUUAUUUGAUAAAAAUAUUUUAUUAGUUGAUUUAAGUCGUAAUUAUCAAAUUUAUAAAAUAUUAUCUGAUUUCGAAAAUAAUUUAAUAAACCGGAGUUAGACUUCUGCUAUAAUUAUUGUUAAAAAAUCUAAGAAGUAAAUGAUUAUUCAUAAAAUUUAACCAACAUGGCGGCGCUUUAUCCCUGGCAGAGGAGCUUGAUGUUUAAUUCGAUAAACCUCGUUUAUUCUUACUAAAAUUUAUCUUGUGUGUGGUUGUUUAGAAAAGGCUUUCAGGCUGAUUCUCACUUCAAAUUAUAUGCAGAAAUAUUUUAGGACAAUUAAGCUACUAUUAUGUCAUUAUUCAGAACAUUACAUCAGAAAGGAUUUGCUAGUAAUUUGUUUAUUUUAAGAACAAAUAAAAAGGUUUUAAAGUGUGCACAUAUCGUCCGUCGCUCUCAGGAAUGAGAUAAGUCGUAGCAUAGUGGGGGUUUUAGAAAAAGCCCCUUAAAUAAA